rnacentral:rRNA from 1 species
GACGAACGCUGGCGGCGUGCUUAACACAUGCAAGUCGAACGGAAAGGCCUCUUUCGGGGGGUACUCGAGUGGCGAACGGGUGAGUAACACGUGAGCAACCUGCCCUUGACUUUGGGAUAACUUCAGGAAACUGGGGCUAAUACCGGAUAGGAGCUCCUGCUGCAUGGUGGGGGUUGGAAAGUUUCGGCGGUUGGGGAUGGACUCGCGGCUUAUCAGCUUGUUGGUGGGGUAGUGGCUUACCAAGGCUUUGACGGGUAGCCGGCCUGAGAGGGUGACCGGCCACAUUGGGACUGAGAUACGGCCCAGACUCCUACGGGAGGCAGCAGUGGGGAAUAUUGCACAAUGGGUGGAAGCCUGAUGCAGCAACGCCGUGUGCGGGAUGACGGCCUUCGGGUUGGAAACCGCUUUCGCUCAUGACGAAGCUUUGUGUGACGGUAGUGGGUAAAGAAGCACCGGCUAACUACGUG